rnacentral:rRNA from 1 species
UUCUGGUUGAUCCUGCCGGAGGUCACUGCUAUUGGGAUUCGACUAAGCCAUGCGAGUCGAGAGGGUUCGGCCCUCGGCUGACGGCUCAGUAACACGUGGAUAAUCUGCCCUUAGGUGGAGGAUAAUCUCGGGAAACUGAGAAUAAUACUCCAUAGGUCUAAGAUGCUGGAAUGCACUUAGGCUCAAAACUCCGGUGCCUAAGGAUGAGUCUGCGGACUAUCAGGUUGUAGUCAGGGUAAUGACCUGACUAACCUACGACGGAUACGGGUUGUGAGAGCAAUAGCCCGGAGAUGAUAUCUGAGACACGAUAUCAGGCCCUACGGGGCGCAGCAGGCGCGAAAACUUCACAAUGUGCGAAAGCACGAUGAGGGAAUCCCAAGUGCUUGCACGUAAGUGUAAGCUGUUUCUUUGUUUAAAACGCAUUGAGAGUAAGGGCUGGGUAAGACGGGUGCCAGCAGCCGCGGUAA